UUUUCAAGACGUUUUUGCAAGCACCUGUGAACUAACCUUCAUUAGUCAACAAGGCAGGAAGAACUCGCAGACUCCUAUAUACAUGAGCCACGGUAAGAAGAAAAGAGAGAGUGAAGAAGCAGCUGGGGGAAUCCGUCCCUGCCCACCCCCAACGGGAGAGGAGGGCCGUCCUUUCCACACGCACAGGGUUGUCAUGAAGACUCUGCGUGAAGAUGCUUGUGAGACGUUCAGCCCACAGUGAGCAC